rnacentral:rRNA from 1 species
AUUGAACGCUGGCGGCAGGCCUAACACAUGCAAGUCGAACGAGUGGCGGACGGGUGAGUAAUGUCUGGGAAACUGCCCGAUGGAGGGGGAUAACUACUGGAAACGGUAGCUAAUACCGCAUACCAUCGGAUGUGCCCAGAUGGGAUUAGCUAGUAGGUGGGGUAAAGGCUCCCCUAGGCGACGAUCCCUAGCUGGUCUGAGAGGAUGACCAGCAACACUGGAACUGAGACACGGUCCAUAAUCCUACGGGAGGCAGCAGUGGGGAAUAUUGCACAAGGGGUGAAGGCCUGAGGGAGCCAUGCCGCGUGUAUGAAGAAGGCCUUCGGGUUGUAAAGUACUUUCAGCGGGGAUGCGUUACCCGCAGAAGAAGCACCGGCUAACUCCGUGCCAGCAGCCGCGGUAAUUC